rnacentral:rRNA from 1 species
GUUGGUGUCUUUAGCGCAGAGGGUCCACCCGUUCCCAUUCCGAACACGGAAGUUAAGCUCUGCAGUGGCGACAAUACUCGGCGGGCAGCUGCCCGGGAAGAUAGCGCGGCGCCAACA